CAGCAGGCGCGCGCUGUUUCCGGAAGUCGCGGCCGGCGUCACCGCUGCGGCUGCCUCAGCUACUGCCGCAGUCGCCGCGGAAUUCGGCGAGUAGAACCGCUGAGGCGGGCGCGGGCCCGGGUGGGGCCAAGGUUCCGGCCACUCUGCAGAAUGGAGAUAAUCAGGAGCAAUUUUAAGAGUAAUCUUCACAAAGUGUACCAGGCCAUAGAGGAGGCCGACUUCUUCGCCAUCGAUGGGGAGUUUUCAGGAAUCAGUGAUGGACCUUCAGUCUCUGCAUUAACAAAUGGUUUUGACACUCCAGAAGAGAGGUAUCAGAAGCUUAAAAAGCAUUCCAUGGACUUUUUGCUAUUUCAGUUUGGCCUUUGCACUUUUAAGUAUGACUACACAGAUUCAAAGUAUAUAACGAAGUCAUUUAACUUCUAUGUUUUCCCGAAACCCUUCAAUAGAUCCUCACCAGAUGUCAAAUUUGUUUGUCAGAGCUCCAGCAUUGACUUUCUAGCAAGCCAGGGAUUUGAUUUUAAUAAAGUUUUUCGAAAUGGAAUUCCAUAUUUAAAUCAGGAAGAAGAAAGACAGUUAAGAGAGCAGUAUGAUGAAAAACGUUCACAGGCGAAUGGUGCAGGAGCUCUGUCCUAUGUAUCUCCUAACACUUCAAAAUGUCCUGUCACGAUUCCUGAGGAUCAAAAGAAGUUUAUUGACCAAGUGGUAGAGAAAAUAGAGGAUUUAUUACAAAGUGAAGAAAACAAGAACUUGGAUUUAGAGCCAUGUACCGGGUUCCAAAGAAAACUAAUUUAUCAGACUUUGAGCUGGAAGUAUCCGAAAGGCAUUCAUGUUGAGACUUUAGAAACUGAAAAGAAGGAGCGAUAUAUAGUUAUCAGCAAAGUAGAUGAAGAAGAACGCAAAAGAAGAGAGCAGCAGAAACAUGCCAAAGAACAGGAGGAGCUGAAUGAUGCUGUGGGAUUUUCUAGAGUCAUUCACGCCAUUGCUAAUUCGGGAAAACUUGUUAUUGGACACAAUAUGCUCUUGGACGUCAUGCACACAGUUCAUCAGUUCUACUGCCCUCUGCCUGCGGACUUAAGUGAGUUUAAAGAGAUGACAACAUGUGUUUUCCCCAGACUCUUGGAUACUAAAUUGAUGGCCAGCACACAACCUUUUAAGGAUAUCAUUAACAACACAUCCCUUGCGGAAUUGGAAAAGCGGUUAAAAGAGACACCUUUCAACCCUCCUAAAGUUGAAAGUGCCGAAGGUUUUCCAAGUUAUGACACAGCCUCUGAACAACUCCACGAGGCAGGCUACGAUGCCUACAUCACAGGGCUGUGCUUCAUCUCCAUGGCCAAUUACCUAGGUUCUUUUCUCAGCCCUCCAAAAAUUCAUGUGUCUGCCAGAUCAAAACUCAUUGAACCUUUUUUUAACAAGUUAUUUCUUAUGAGGGUCAUGGAUAUCCCCUAUCUAAACUUGGAAGGACCAGACUUGCAGCCUAAACGUGAUCAUGUUCUCCAUGUGACAUUCCCCAAAGAAUGGAAAACCAGCGACCUUUACCAGCUUUUCAGUGCCUUUGGUAACAUUCAGAUAUCCUGGAUUGAUGACACAUCAGCAUUUGUUUCCCUUAGCCAGCCCGAGCAAGUAAAGAUUGCUGUCAAUACCAGCAAAUAUGCAGAAAGCUAUCGGAUCCAAACCUAUGCUGAAUAUAUGGGGAGAAAACAGGAAGAGAAGCAGAUCAAAAGAAAGUGGACUGAAGAUAGCUGGAAGGAGGCUGACAGCAAACGGUUAAACCCCCAGUGCAUACCCUACACCCUGCAGAAUCACUAUUACCGCAACAAUAGUGAUAAACCCAGGCAACAUUCUUUUCAAAUGGAUAAUCAAAAGAGAGAAUUGAUCAACCAAGAUGAAAGUGUCAUAAGGAACCAAUAAGUGAUAAUGUUGGAAGUGAAAUUCAAAUCAAAACAAGUAGAAUUAUAAAGAAGAAUUAGCUGACCACGGGAAUGUUGACACUGCUGCCAUUUGAGUUACUGUAAAUCUGCAGCCAGAGGAACUUAACGAAGGCAACUUAUCAGCAUAAAUGAGGAAAGUGGUUGUGACAAAAAGGAUGAAGAUGUCCCAGAAGAAGUAACGCCAGCACAAACUUUCACAUUAAAGGAGCUCUCAGAGAUAUUUCACUACAUUGAAAGCGCAAAGGAUAACCCACUGGAAGCUGAUUCACACUUACAAAGGAGUACAACAGUUCACCCAGGCAUAGAAGAAACACUCACUGCAUAUCAUAAGUUACAUGGCAAGAAGAAGGCACACACUGUUUAAACUACCCUGAAUAAGUUUUUUUGUUUUUAACAAAAGCUCAUACUUUAUUCACAUUUCCUCGGUUUUUACCUAAUGUCCUUUUUCUGUUUCAGUUUCAGGAUCUCAUCUAGGAUACCAUAUUAUAUUUGGCCAUCAUAUCUCCAUAGGCUUCUUUAGACCACGAUGGUUUCUCUGACUCUCCUUGUUUUUGAUUACCUUGACAGUUUCAGGAUGAAAUUGGCCAGCUAAUCUAUGGAAUGUCCUCCAACUUGAGUUUGUCUGAUAUUUUUCUAGUGGUUAGACUAAGGUUAUGGGUUUUGGAUGGAAGACCCGUGAUGAAGUGCCAUCCUCAUCACUUCAUAUCAAGGGAACAUGCUGUCAAUGUGAUUUCUCACUUGGGAUGUUAACCUUCAUCACCUGGGUUGAGGUGGUGUUUGCCAGAUCUCUCCACAUGAAGUUACUGUUCUCUCUCUUUCCACACUCUGCUGUUUGAAAGGAAGUCACUGUACACAGCCCAAGUCUAAGUGGUGGGGAGUUAUGUUCCACCUCCUUGGGGGAGGAGUGUCUGUAAUUAUUCUGAACAAGAGAUUUGUCUCUUAUUUGUUAUUUAGUCAUUGAUCUAUAUCAUUAUAUAGACAUAAGUUUUAUACAAAGAAAUAAAACACUUUAAUUCUCAGUGGUUUCUGAUGCUUUAAAUUGCAGUGUACUAAAUGUUGUGGCUUUACCUUUUGUAUGUUUGUUUGUUUCUCUAUUUUUAACCCAGAGUCAGAGACUUAAUAAUGUUUUGACGAAAGUUUCUAAAGGUCACAGAAAAAUCCAUUUUUCUUUGAUUUCAAGGUGAGUGUAGAACACCUUUAGAGUGCAAAGGACAACCCUUUGGAAGAUGAUUCAAACUUACAAAGGAGUACGAGUGUAGAAUACUCACCCUUCCGUUGUCCAGAUGUUUUUAUGAUCCUGUACUACGUGCAAAGCAAGGACUGGCUGUAGUUUGUAAAGUUUCCUUCAGCUCCCUACUCUGUGCUUGUUUCCUCAGAGUUCCUUUAUUUCUGUCUGUAUAUUGGUCUGUUUUGGUUUUUGUCUGUCAUGUUGGAAGCUUUCUUUAAAUAUUUGGCUGUUCUUGGCCAUCCAUUAUUUUUUAAGAAUGAACUAAAAAUUGAUAAGAAGCUCUGGGUGUGGAGGCAAAUCUUAUUGAUGGUCUUUCUGUGUAGGAUGUUGAGGUGAAAAAUUGGCUUUAUAAUUAAUAUGUCUUUUCUCUGAGGCUGAUUCAGUUCCUUUAUGGCUUACGCUUCUUAUAUCUACAUGAGAACUCUGCCUAGAUAAGGUCACAGAGAUUUUCUCAUGUUUUUUAGCAGUUUUUAAUUAUUCUCAGUUUUAUAUUAGAUAUAUGAUCUAUUUCAAGUUAAUUUUUAUAUACGGUUAUGAGGCAUGGGUAUGAGUUUAUUUUUUGCAUAUAGAUAUGCAAUUAUUCCAGCACUAUUUUAUGAAAAGUAAAUUACUGAAUUACAACUCCUUAGUCAAAAAUCAUUUGGUCAUAUACGUAUGGGUCUAUUUCUGGACACUAUUCUAUUCCAUUGAUCUAUAUGUCUGUUCUUUCACCAAUACCAUACUGUCUUGAUUACUGUAGCUUUGUAGUGAGCCUUGAAAUCAAAUAUUGUACCUUUAAUCUUGUCUUUUCUAUAUAAAAGUUUAUUCUAUUCACUUUUCCACAAAAGUUUUAGUCAGUUUGUCAGUUUCUACAAAAAGUCUGCUAGCUCUUUGAUUGGAAUUGUGUUGAACCUGUAAACCAUUUUGAGGAGAAUUAACAUCUUAACUACAUUGAGUCUUCCAACCCAUGAAUGUAGUGUAUCUUUUCACUUACUUGGGCUUUCUUUGAUUUCUCUCAUCAGUGUAUUAUAGUUUUCAGCAUGCAAAUUUUGCAUAUGCUAUACUGGAGUUGUCCCUUAGUAUUUUACCUUUUGAUCUAUUGUAAGUCAUAUAUUUUUAAAGUUCCACUUCCAGUCAUUUAUUGCUAAUAUAAAGAAAUAUAAUAGCUUUUUAAUUUUGACCUUGUAUUCUUAAACCAACCUUACUUACUCACUUAUCAGUUCUAAUAAUUUAUUGUAGAGUAUUGGAUAUUUUUCGUUUGAGAAAUUCUAUCUACAAAUAAAGACAUUUGCAUUUAUCUCCCCAGUACAAAUUUUCCCAUACACAUUUUCUUUCUCUUGCCUUUAUUUCUCUGGCUAGGACCUCUAGUACAUUGUUGAAUAGAAGUUGUGAGAGCUGACAUCUUUAUCUUAUUCCUGAUCUUAGGAGGAAAGCUUUCAAUCUUUCAACGUUAAAUAUGAAUUAGCUGUAAGGUUUCAGUUUUUUUUAGAGAUUGAUGCUCUGAUUUUCAGCUUGGGGGAUACAAACCUAACUGCUGUGCUCUGGGUACAGAUUGGCAGAAGGGAGCUGGACAGCCUCACUCCUCGGUAUGUGGGGGAUGGCUACCCCAUUUCGUCAGCUCAUUUCGCCUCACUGUCACUCUUCACCAUUGUACCUGGUGCCGCUGAGCCUGCGGAGAUCGCUUUCUCCAGAGUAUAAACCUCCUAUCUAGCUCCUACUGGCCUGGGGUGAUACCAGUGCCCUGGCUUCCCUGGGGUAGGGGAUCCUAUUACAGCCUUGCUCCCUCCUGACAUGGCUCCAGUCCUCAUCACCUGCUCGUUUUAGGAAUCUAGGGCCUGGUUGUGCUGAGAUUUUGCAUGGCUUAAUUGGGUGAAUCUGCCUUUUGUAGAGCACUCAGAUUUCUGUUUCUGCCUCUAUGCAGAGCUCUUUGCCACUCUUCUCCCUGCUUUUCCUCUACAAAGAGAGUGCCUGCAAGGUGAGCUGAUACCCCAUUCUCUGAUGCUGCCUCUCCUGUUCUCUUUUCCUCCAUAGGUGUUAUCUUCUCUCUGCAGAUAAAUAGUGUGUUCAAUCGCUCAUGUUUAACUUCCUGGAAAUUUUUAAAAAGUAGUUUAUUUUCUGAAAUAGUUGGCCUUUUGGUUUGCAGGGAUGAUGUUUUGUUUUUCUUAUAGCCUUGAUUAUGUUACUAAUUUGAUUAGUAAGUCCUUUGAUUGAAGUCAAAAGGUAAAUUUUAGUACAAAAGUAAAUUUGAUCCUAGCCUCUGAAAAUUUCAGAUGUUCUAAAUUCAGGUCCAACUAAUUGUAUAUUGAUAAUAUAUUUUACAUUUAGAAAUUAUUAUUAAUGUAGUAUCUUUCAUGUUUGCAUCAAUCUUUUCUGUGUUAAAGUGAGUUGACAAUAGGGGAUUGUUUGAAAUAUUCAAAAUAGUUUCUUGUGAAAAGUAUUUCUUAUUGAAUGCUAUUGAUUCUUUGUAAUGUUGAACUAAUUUUUUUCUUAAGCCUCGUAUUCACAAGUAAGCUUUAUGUCUAGGAUGGAGCAGAUACACAAUGCAUUCAUGUUUUCUCUGUCUCUCUCUCUCACACACACACACACACCCACACACACACCCCCACACACACACCCCUAUUCCACAAGAGAUGUCCUUAUUACCAGACAGCUACCAUUCAGACCUUAUUUAAUGUUAAGUUUGUUUACAGACUCUUUUUUUUUUUUUUUUUUUUUUUUUUUUGAGACAGAGUCUCACUGUGUCCCCCAGGCUGGAGUACAAUGGUGCGAUAUUGGCUCACUGCAACCUCCGCCUCCCAGGUUCGAGCAGUUCUCCUGCCUCAGCCUUCCGAGUAGCUGGGAUUACAGGCAUACACCAUGAUGCCCGGCUGUUUUUUGUAUGUUUAGUAGAGACGAGGUUUCACCAUGUUGGCCAGGCUGGUCUCGAACUCCACCUCAAGUGAUCUGCCCACCUCGGCCUCCCAAAGUGCAGGGAUUACAGGUGUGAGCCACUGCGCCUGGCCCCAAGACUCAAAUUCUUUAUUAGAAAUAAGAAUCCUGGUUUAUCAGUGAUCUCCGAGGGUUUGGCUUCUGAACUGAGCAUAGGUUGUCCAACAUCCUCCCCUCUCCCACCUAAAUUGAGCCCCAAACACAGAAACAGUCAUGCUCAUGGAAUUCGAAUUCACCAUGAAAGUUUGUGAACACAAUAAAAAGGCAUUUCUAGCUCCCACUUACCGGAUCUCUCCAGUUCAUUUUGCUGUGUGAGGUAGUUUGCACAGUGGGACCUUCCCUCAAUCCCUUAGCUACAUCUAGUAGGGAAUGUGCUUUCAUUCAGCCUAGCAGGAGAAGCUGCCCAUACACUGGAAUGUAAACUAUGUUCAUAUUAUUUCUAAUUCAGGAUAAAAUAAGCAAUUUGUUGUUUGUCACUUGCAUUAUUGCUUUUAGGGAGGUAGCUUUCACUUAUUUCAUUUAUUUUAUCCAUUCAGCAAACCUUGGCCAAGGACUUACUCUAUGCCAGGCCCUGUGCCAGGUACGGAGAGCACAAGCAGUGUAAGAGCCUGCUCUCAUGGAACGUACAUUCUAGUGACAGAGAGAGAGAAUAGAUAAGUAAGGACAUAAAUAAGAGGCAAGGCAGAGGCGAGUAGGAGGAGGAAAAUAAAACAGGGCAGAGGAAUGAAUGUGACAAGGUAAGUGGCUGUUUCGGCUCCUCCGUGGGGAUGGUGCGGGGGUCUCUUUUCUGUUGAGACCGGCACAGUGAGGAGAGCUGGCCCUAGGAAGAUGGGAGUUUAUAAAGCAGUGCCAAGAACAUUGAACUUGGAGUGCAAUCUCAGAGCCACCUGCCCAGCUGCAGUACCUGGGGGAGGUCAUUUACCCUGAAGAUGAGGUUUCUUGUCUGCAAAAUGGGAGUGUACAUGUGUCCAGCUUAAAAGGGUCAUAUACAGUUACCAAAUAUGAGAAUGUUGCAAACAGCAGCUCUUUAAAAUGAAAGGGUACUGUUAUUUUAUACAGCGCAUGAACGUUCCAGCCAACUAAAGGACUUGCUCUACCUGUCUUUAAGACUUACUGUAGGCCAGGCAUGAUGGUUCACGCCUAUAAUACCGGCACUUUGGGGGACCAAGGAGGGAGGAUCAGUUGAGCCCAGAAGUUCAAAACCAGCCUGAGGCAACAUAGCAAGACACCCCCAUCCUUACAAAAAAAUUAAAAAUUAGUCAGGUGUGGUAGUGCAUGCCUGUAGUCCCAGCUACUCAGGAGGUAGAGGUAGGAGGAUCGCUUGAACCUGGGAGGUUGAGGCUGCGGUGAGCUGUGAUUGCACCACUGCUCUCUAGCCCAGGUGAGAGAGCCAGACCCCAUCAGUUUAAAAAAAAAAAAAAGAAAACUUACUGUAAAACUGUAGUAGUACAGUGUGGGGCUGGGUAAGGAAAGACAGAUAGUGAAACAAAAUAGAAUAGAGAGUCCAAGAAUACAACCACAUAUGUGUGAUCAGUUGAUUUCCCAUAGUUUUUCCAUGCAGGAAUUCCUUCUUGGCAUUUAGAGACAUUUGUCUCUUAUUCCAAAUUGUGAGAAAAAUGAGUCAAGAAAUCAGGAAAAGGAAAUAUUCUGCGAGAACUAAAAUUUUAACAGCCAACAUGGGCAUUACUAGUUUAAAGGAAUUAUCCAGCAUCAGGUCAAAGGCAAGAGCACAGUCAGCGACACAUGGAGUCAGAGAUUAAGGUCGUCAUUUCAGAACCAGGACAGCAACAUGUAGGAGAGAAGGGGUCACAUUCCAAUCACGUCAUUCUUGCUUGUCACUGUCACCAUAUUGCAAGUGUAUGUUUAUGGCCCUGCCUGCUAUUAAUAGUGAGUCAUUCUUCUCAAUAAAAAUCUAUUGAGUUUUGCACAUGAGUAUACUUUACAAAAUCCUCCAAGUCUUGUUGGAAGAUGUAAGUUUUGGCAGCAGCCCUUAAGUUGGUAGCUUUGAAGCGUGAUUCCUGUGUAGUGCUGUUAACCUUGCUAGGAUAGCCAAAUGUUACAUUAUCUUCAUAGAAUCCAAUAAUGUUCACUGGUGUUUUCCAGUGUUUGAAUAUUUAAUGUAGGCUACGGUUCUUUGUAAAUACUUUUACAGGAGAAAUGUAAAGAGAAGAUGUGUGAAUAUGAUUGUGGAAUACUCUUAAUGUGAAAUCAGCUGAUAUAAAAUUUGAAUUAGGAAAAGCAGUAUCAAUUUUAAGAGCAAAAUCAAGGCAAGCAGACAAAAUAUUUUCAACACUAGGAAAGGAAUUGGGCUUAUAUGAAGCCGUAUAUAGUCUAAAUCCUAACUGCAGUUGGCUUUGGACACCACUCUGAAGAGUUUGACCAACUCUUGACCAAUGUUCAGCAUAAAAUGAAAGAAGCUUUUCUACAUUUGGAAUAUUUUUCACAAAACAAAUAUUAGUUAAUACUUGUGUGUUUUAAAGUAUCAUUUAAGAAUAACUUUUAAAUAUUUGUGGCAUCUUUCAAUUUUUAAAUGAUAUUUGGCAUUCAUUUGGUGCUACUGUGUUUUUAAUGUUUUCUGUUAACAAACGUCUAUAUCAGGUAGAGGUUAUUUUUAUGUGUUAUUGAAAUACGUGCUUUUCUCACAGUGUAUUCAUUCAUAAUAAUAACCUGUGCAUAUAUUAUUAUAUCUUACUUUAUAGAACUGACCCCUGAAGCUUUCAGUAUAAGUGUAUCACAUAAAAGUGAUUUGCUAUUUAUAACUCAUUAUUCAACAACAUGUAACACAAUGCUAUGAAAAAUGCAGAAUAUUUUAUGAUUUGGGAAUUCUGAAUUUCUCAUUUCUGAAUCUUGAAGCUAAUGACUGUUGAGAAUUUGGAAAAAACAAAAAUUCCUGACACAGGUGCUGGUAAUCCAGUAGGCGAAGGAAGGCUUUGUCUACAUACAGUACUGAAACAACUGGGUAACUAUGCCAGAAACCACAUUUCUGUUCUUAUGUUACACCACAUUUAAAAUGAACUUGAAGCGACUCAUAGAACUAAAUGGAAGAACUAAAAUGAUAACCACUGGUAGAAGAAAAAAAUGAAAGGAGAUCUUAGUAUCUUGCAUUAGGCAGAGAUUUCUUAGAUAUGACAACAAAAGCAUGAGCCAUAAAAGAAAAAUGUUGAUAAAUUGGACUUAGUCAAAAUUAAAUAUUCUUUUCUUCAAAAGAUACUAUUAAGAAACUGUGAAGAGAAGGCACACACUGUGGAAAAAAAUUUCUUUUCCUUUUUUUCUUUUAGAGGUGGGGAUUCACCAUGUUGCCCAGGCUGGUCUUGAACUCCUGAGCUCAAGCGAUCCGCCCACCUUGGCCUCCCAAAGUGCUAGGAUUACAGGCAUGAGCCAUCAUGCCGGGCCAAAAAUUUUCAAACUGCGUAUCUAAUAAUGUAGUUGUAUCUACAUACAAAAUAGUUGUAUCAUGAUCAUAUGUACUCUUAUAAUAUAUACUCGGCAAUUCAGAAAACAACCCAGUUUUUUGAAAAGGGGGAUGAGGUCAAAACAUUUCAACAGAUUCUUCAAAAAAGAUAUACAAAUGGCCAAUAAAUAGUUUGGCAGUUUCCUGUAAAGUUAAACAUAAAUUGCAAAUGUAUUUUUAUAUAUCACCCAGAAAUCCUUCUAGGUAUUUAUAUUUGAAAAAUAAAAACUUAUGUUUUUAAUAAUAAAAGCUAGCUUUUACCCAGAUGUUUAUACCAGCAUUAUUUGUAAUGACAAAUAGUUGGAAGCAGCCCAAAUGUCCAUCAACUGGUAAAUGAAUAAAUUGUGAUCCAGCCAUACUAUGAAAUAAAGUACUAAUACUAACAGCCAUGUGACUGACUCUCAAAGUAUUAUGCUAAGUGAAAAGAGUCAAACAAAAGACUAAAUAUUGUAUGAUUUCAUUCACAUGAACUUCUGGAAAAGGCAAAACUAUAUAAAUAGGACUAUAAGCAGAUUAAUAGUUGCUGUGACAAUGUGGAUUGAGUGCAGAGUGACACGAGGAAUCUUUUUAGGGAGAGGGUAUUGUUCUAUAUCUCAAUUGUAGUAAUAGUUACAUGGUUAUAAGCAAUUCCCAAAGUUAACCAAACUGUACAUUUAAAAUAAGUGAAUUCCAUUGCAUGUAAAUAAUACCCUAAUUUAAAAUGGGGAAUAUGUUCAUGUAGCAGCUAGAUUUUUGUUAUUGCUUCAUGGAAAAAGGUAUUUGUAGGGGUUUGAAAAUACGGCCUUUCUAUAAGCAAACAUUUCUUUCUACUAAAAGGAAAAAGUACUGGAGAUGUUCACCCUUGUGGAAUUUGAUGGAUAGUUGACAGCGACUUAGCUUUUAACAAAACACUAAUCAAAGUUUAAUGUUCAAUUUUAACAUACCAAGUUGUGUCUGUGACAUUUUAUUUUUUAAUUAAUCACCACUUCUUACAGUGGAUUUAAAUGUCCACUUCUUAUUCAUUAUAAACUAGCUCACUUUGUACAUUAUAAAUCUGUAUGCAAAAUGAGGUCAUACAAAUGGGAGAUUGUUUUGCCUCUCAUUUUACCUUUUGACUUUUAAAAUCAGUUAAUAAAAGAAUGCCUCAUCAACAUGCAGGUAUUGAGAGUGCUACACACACGCAUGCACAUACACACACAUGCACAGCAGUACCUUCCAAAUAUAUAAAGAAUCACAUUUGUAAAGGCAGUGUUACAUAUAUCUGGUUUUUAAUGUAUAAUUAAAACUUUUAUUUAAAACUGCCGUAGUUAAGUUAUAUGGGAUAUAAUCACAGCUUUUAUUUUUAUUAGAGGAUGGCAGGUCUUACAUACAUAUAGAUACAGAAACAUUAUAUGAAAUAAACUAAUUCCACAUAUAUCUGAGAGCUUUCUCAGGCAGGAUGCCCAAUAACCAUUAGCCUCUCCUAGGAAGCAAAAGACUUACUUGAGAGCAGAAAUACAGAUUAGCAAUUAAGAAAUAUGCUGUAGGGUGGGUGCGGUGGCUCACGCCUGUAAUCCCAGCACUUUGGGAGGCCGAGGCAGGCAGAUCUCCUGAGGUCAGGAUUUCAAGACCAGCCUGGCCAACAUGGUGAAACCCUGUUUCUACUAAAGAUACAAAAAUUAGCUGGGAGGCUGAGGCAUGAGAAUCACUUGAACCAUGGAGAUGGAGGUUACAGUGUACCAAGAUCACAUCACUACACUCCAGCCUGAGCAACGGAGCAAGACUCCGUCUCUAAAUAAAUAAAUAAAGUUGUAAAUUAAUUGAGAAACUGUUCAGGAAAAUGCUUUGUAAACUUAAAUGUUCCAUAGAAACAAGAACCCUGCAGAAGCACAUCUGGCAGAGUCCCUGUUGCAUAGCAGUCAGUUGUUUAUGGAGAGGAGCAUUACAAAUGCAUGGGUCUUGUUGGCCAAAAAUACCAUAAUCUGUGGUUAGGAUACAACCAAUGUAUUCUAGUAAGUGCCUUCAAAAUCAUUGCUUGAAGUUAAUGCUAAAAUUAGUCAAUCUCCAUGUCCGUAGAAUAGCCACAUGAUGUUGAGAUAUGAAGUGGUUGUUGUUAUUGUUGUUGUUGUUUGAGACAGGGUCUCACUCUGUCACCCAGGCUGGAGUGCAGUGGGCUGGUCAUGGCUCACUGAAACCUCAAACUCCCAGACUCAAGCAAUCCUCCCACCUCAGCCUCCCAAAUAGCUGGGACUACAGGCAUGCCACCACUGUGCCUGGCUAAUUUUUUGUAUUUUUUUUUUUUUUUUUUUUUUUGUAUUUUUUUUUUUUUUUUUUUUUUUAGAGACGGGGUUUCUCCACAUUGCCCAGGCUGUUCUUGAACUCCUGGGCUCAAGCAAUCCUCCUGCCUUGGCCUCCCUAAGUGUUGAGAUUACAAGUGUGAACCACCACACCUGGCCAAGAUAGAAGUUUUGACAAAACUAUACUCCUAUAAAGACACAGGGAAUUAACGUUACCCCAGAAAAUUCCCUCAUUUUCUACCAGUCAAUCCCUACCUACCCUCCCAUACCCACCAUUCUUCUGAAUUUUUUUCUCUGAAGAUUAGUUUAGCCUUUUCUGGAAUUUCAUGUAAAUGGGUUUAUAAAAUACCCACCCUUUCCUGUGAAGGCUUCAUUCACUUAGAAUGUUUGAGAUUCAUCCGUGUUGUUGGAGGUAACAGUAAUUCAUUUUUUAAUUGCUGAAUUAUAUUUCGUUGUAUGAAUAUAGCCCAGUUUAUCCAUUCUCCUGUUGAUGCACUGCUCCUAGUUUCAGUUUAUUAUAAAAAAUAAGAUGAACGAGUUAAAGUCCUCAUGAGACAGAAAAGCAGAGUUUAUGGGAAGCAUGGAAAGGAAAGAACAGUAAACAGGGAUUGGGAACAUUCCCGGAGGAGAGUGAUGUUGAGCAGGAGGAGAUGGGCAGUAGGGUCUUAGCAUGAACGGUAACAUUGAAAUGGGCAGUGUGGGAUGUAUUUGGGCCAGUAAACUUCUGGUGGGAUGACGGGCAUGUGGGAGAGUACGGACGAUGAACUUCAUUAGGUAAACCUAUAUAGUCUCUGCAGCUUGGCUGCCUAGUGAAAGAUAGGCCAGGAAAGCAGAUUGGGACCCAGAUGAUAGAGGAUCCUGGAUGCUGUGCCAAGCAGUUUAAAUUUAGGUUUAUAGUGGAGAGUCGGAGUUUUUCUUUCCUUUCCUUUCCUUGUCUUACGUAUUGAUGUAGACUCAUGGAUUGCUAUUUUUUUUUUCAAUGAUUCAGAAUUUAUUACUGCCCCCUAAUAAAUUAGAGGGCACACAUUGUCCCAGAUUUUCCCAGUGGGAGUCCUUUCAAGCUAGUUCCUAUUUCCCUGUGACAUGCCUAAAAGUUUUUUACUUCUUGGUAUUGCAAAAUAUUUUAGACUCAUUUUAUAAUUUAUCUCCCUUGAGCCUGGAAUCAUCCACUUAUUUGAGGAACCCUGGUUCCUUUUAGUAGGGUAUUAGAAACUAAGAUCUGGACAAUAGAUAUGCUCAUUGCUACUCUGGUGUCUCUGCUUCUACGUCCUUUCUGUAGACAGAGCUGGGAAUUUUGUGCCUGGAUAGAUACAAUUAUCUAUCCCUGCAUAAAUAUACGUAUAUAUAUAUGUGUGUGUGUGUGUGUAUACAUAAAUAUGAACACAUAUACUCAUACUUAUUUUAGAAAUCACAAGCCUAAACCCGUAUCUCCAAUUUCAGUCUAUCCUCAGAGGGUUCUUCCUUAUCUUCCCUUAUUCUAAUAUUUUUAUGUCUGUCUGCCAGAAACAUCAGCACAUUUACUGAUUUACCCAGUGCUAUCAUGCAGCUAAGUGUUUUCAGAAUUGCUUCACUCAUUCUACUACAGAAGCAAGCCUACUAAGGGGUUCAGGAUUUGUUUGCAAUUCUCUCCCACACCCUACUCAAGAUUGGGCAUACCAGCUUCAUAAGUUGUUCUUUUGCACUUUGCUUUUUGCACAUAUUUUACUGGAAAUCUUUCCAUAAUCAUUUUCGGUUCUUUGAGAUCUUCAUUCUUUUUGGUAACUGCUUAGUAGUUCAUUGAUUGUAUGUACUGUUGCGUAUUCAACCAGUUUUUUAUGCUUAGACAUUUAGGUACUUUGCAGUAUUUUGCAAUUCCAAAUAAUGCUGUAAUGAAUAACUUGUACAUGCAUAUUUUUGCAUUGUAGGAGGUAUAUCUUCUAAAUUCCUGGAAGUGUAUGCAGUUUUGUUAGAUAUUGCCACAUUCCCUCCAUAAGAAUAAGUCAUGCGAUUUUGCAUUCAUACCAGUAAUGUGAGAAAGGACCCAUUUCCCCAGUCUACUAAUGGAGUAUAUUAUCAAGCUUUUGAAGGUUUUUGCCAGUCUAAAAACCUAGUGGGUGAGAAGUGAUAUUUCAGUGUUGUUUUAUUUUGCAUUAUGAAUGGAGUUGAACAUUUUUUCAUGUGUUUAAGGAGUGUGUGUAAUGAGCUGUUUAUUCAUACCUUUUUUAGUUUUCUAUAGGACUUUUGGUCUUUCUUUUUCUCUUCAAGUUUGAGUUAUAAUUUAUUAGAGACAUUAACCCUUUAUCUGUGAUACAUGUUGCAGAUAUUUCCUCGUGGUUUGUCAUUUGUCUUGGCUCACGUUAUUUAUUGCCCUGCAAAAGAUGUUUACAUCUAUGAGGUCACAUUCAUAAAUCCUUUAUUAUGUCUGGAUUGUGAGACAUGGCAAGAAAACCUUUUUCUACACCUGGAUUUUGGAGGCAUUCACCCGCGUUUUGUUUUAGUACCUGUAAAGUUGCCUUUUUUGCAUUUAGAUAUCUAAUCCAUUAGGCAUUUAUUCUUUUAUAUGGUGUGAGGAAUGGUUCUAAUUUUAUCCUUUUCUGCUUGUCCCAACACCAUUAUUUUAAAGUCCAUAUAUGCCUCAGUAUUUAGAGAUACCACUGUUAUCAUACAGUAGAUUUCUAGGUACAGUUGGGGCUAUUUCUAGACUUUGUAUUUCACAGAGUAUUUUUAAUGCCCGUGGUUCUAGCUGAGUUUUCAUUAAACAUUUAUGUAUGUCUCAGAGGCUACCAGGUUCCUGAAUUUACAAUGCGAAGGAAUUUUUAGGCCUCUUCCCCUUUCGUGAUAGAAGAACCCUUAUUAUCUUCUUGUACUUCCUGAAUUUUCUAAAUUUUCUGAAAUCAGCCGAACUUUUUCUAGUCUUUAAAAAAUCUUCUUAAAGGUAUUACCAGUUUUUAAACAGGAAACUUCAGCAUACAUUUUUAACAGCCACCCCCCACUGCCGAAACAUUACCAUUAAUAUCCUCCCUUAUAGUCCCUCAAUUAGAUGUUUCAGAAAGCUGUCUAUAAUAGAAAUGAAAAAGAGGACAAAUGAAAGGCUAGCCAGCCAGUCAUAGGAGGAAGAGUGCUCCAGCCUCUUCUGCUUCCCAUGCCUUAGAGAACCACCAGGAAGGCAGUGUGUUCUUCUCCUCUGUCCCCUGAGUGUCCUAUCAAGUGCACUUGGCAGAUUCAGGGAAGAUGUUGAGUGCAGGAGUAAUGUGGAGGAACUUGAAUAUUUAGGUAGCCAGAGUUUUUUAUGUGGAACAUUUUAAACUAUUCACUUCCUGGCUGGGCAUGGUGGCUCACGCCUGUAAUCCCAGCACUUUGGGAGGCCGAGGUGGGCAGAUCACUUGAGGUCCAUUGUUCCAGACCAGCUUGGCCAACAUGGUGAAACCUCACCUCUACUAAAAAUACAAAAAUUAGCAGAGGCCGGGCGUGGUAACUCAAGCCUGUAAUCCCAGCACUUUGGGAGGCCAAGUUGGGCGGAUCACGAGGUCAGGAGUUCGAGACCAGCCUGGCCAACAUGGUGAAACCCCAUCUCUACUAAAAAUACAAAAAUCAGCCAGACUUCGUGGUGCAUGCCUGUAAUCCUAGCUACUCAGGAGGCUGAGGCAGGAGAAUCGCUUGAACCCGGGAGGCGGAGGUUGCAGUGAGCUGAGAUUGUGCCACUGCACUCCAGCCUGGGGGACAGAGCGAGACUCUGUCUCAGGGAAAAAAAAAAAUUAGCCAGACAUGGUGGCGGGUGCCUGUAAUCCCAGCUAGUUGGGAGGCUGAAGCAGGAGAGUCACUUGAAUCCGGGAGGCGGAGGCUACAGUGAGCCGAGAUCACUCCACUGCACUCCAGCCUAGGUGACAGAGCAAGACUGUGUCUCAAAAAUAAUUAGAUUAGAUAGAUAGAUAGAUAGAUAGAUAGAUAGAUAGAUAGAUAGAUAGAUAAAAUUUAAAAGUACCCACCUCCUAGGAAAAGCUGGUAAGAUCAUUUUAUCUCUCACUUCCCACCCUCCCCAUGUGCUUGAAUGGCCUCUCCUAAAUAGAAUGCCUUGAAUUUAUUUGAGGCUUUCAUAACUUGGGGGCUAUAAUAAAAAAAUCUCUAAGACCCAUUUAGAGGAGAAAGGACUCACUGGCUAUGUGGACGCUGUUUUUAUCUAGUUAUAUUUAAGGGAACAUUUUCGUAAGGAAAAAUCAGGACACAUAAUCUGAUUUAAUUCAAUAUGUCAAAGCCUAUAAAGCUUUCAAAAUGAAACAUUUAAUUAUACAUUUAACAAGUCAUCUUUUUGGAAAGGAAGAAGAUUACAUGAAGGUGGGGUAUGCUCUGUAGCUAUGUCCAAGUUUUAAGCAGUGGGAUAGCAGACUGAUUGAAGAAUUCUUCAGUUCUGCUCUUUAUGCAUUAGGCAGUCAUGAAGAGAAUAAUGCUAUCUUCUGAUUUAAUGUAACCAAAACUAUUAUUUCAUUAUAUUAUCUCUACUAUUCUAUUCUACUAUUCUGUUACAAUAGUUUUAUCAAAAUAGAGGCUACUUUACGGAUUUGUUCUUGAGCACUCGGAUCAGCUUAAAUUUGUGUAUAUCUAUUUACAAGCAUAAUUUAGGACUUUUUUCUGAAUAAGCUUGUUAUAGGUAAACUUUCAGACUUCAGUUCAUAAUAAGGUCUUUAAUUUUUACACACAGGCAGCAGCUGCCCAUGUUGUUGAUGGCUGGCUGAGUGUUAAUAGAAUUAAGAGUAUUAAAAUAUUUUUAUAGACUAGUCUUCCUGUAACUCUCAGCACCUUUUAUGUUGUUCCACUUUUUGCAUUUCAGUUUUACAGCUCCCAGCACAGUAGGAAAGAGAAAUUUGAGUCCUAGUCAAGAGGAAGCUGGCCUGGAGGACGGAGUGUCAGGGGAGAUUUCCGACACUGAGCUUGAGCAGACCGAUUCCUGUGCAGAGCCCCUCUCAGAGGGAAGGAAAAAGGCCAAGAAAUUAAAAAGAAUGAAGAAGGAGCUUUCUCCAGCAGGAAGCAUCUCGAAGAACAGCCCUGCCACACUCUUUGAAGUUCCUGACACAUGGUAACCAAGACCUGAGGGCAGCAAACCGCUGGUGCUGUCGCUGUGAGCAAGAGCCGGCUGGCACAUUUGGAAGCCGCACUGUAUUUAACUUAAUCAAAUGUGGUAUGGGAGGGGUUGGAAACCAAGUUGUCUCCUGGGGGGGAGAAAACAGGUUUUAUUUUUGUGGCUGUGGUUUUUUCCCCUUUUUAAUCUAACUGCCUGUUGACAUUGACACUCAUCACGGUUGUAGGCUGUCAUGAAUGUGUACGUGCUUAACCAGUGAAUUCCGUGUUGCUCUUGUGAGGCCUUUCCUGUCAUGACCCAGUGUGCUUAAGAACCUGCCUGAUGGGGAGUGUCGGCUGUGAAAUCUGCAAAAAGAGCUGACAUUCCAGCUGCUGUGAUCAUGAAUUUGGGGGUGUACUGUCCUGCCUGUGCAUCUUCUCGCACUGAGAUUUUGAGGCAGUUGCAGCCCUCGGUUAGUCUCCCAGUGGAAAAAUCGGUUGUGCCUCCCUGCUUCCCACCAUAGCUGCCUGAAAACAUGACGCUCUCAAGCUUGUCCUUCCUUCAGGAAGAUGUCCACUCAUGCCCACCCAUGAGAGGGCUUGCCGUAUGCCCUGGCCUUUGGGCAUAUUUAUGUAGAGUUCCUUUCUCCUAAGACGUGAGUUUCUCAUGGGGGAUGUACGAGUAAAAAGGUUAACUUCUGUUCUUAUGCGUGGCGCUGUGUUCACUUUCCAGAGUCUCUGUUCGUUUGUUUGGAUGGCGGUCUCGGGGUACGGCAGCGUGUGUGCGUACGUGUCUGUGUGUGUGUGUGUGUGUGUGUGUGUGUGUGUGUGUGUGUGUGUGUGAAAUCGUGCAAAUCUACAACAUGUCCCAGCCCAUUCUCCGUUGAAACAGAUCACAGCAACGACAAACGCUCAUGGCGCUGCUUUGCUCCACCCGCUUCAGAUAGAUCAUUGUUAGAUAUUUCACAUUUUUGUAUGGUGGAAAUAAAAAUGAAAAAUGUAUUUCCAAAAGAUGAAAAUUAAAAACAUUUUCAUAGGA